UCCGUAGGCGGUUUAAUAAGUCAGUGGUGAAAUCUGGUCGCUCAACGAUCAAACGGCCAUUGAUACUGUUAGACUUGAAUUAUUGGGAAGUAACUAGAAUAUGUAGUGUAGCGGUGAAAUGCUUAGAUAUUACAUGGAAUACCAAUUGCGAAGGCAGGUUACUACCAAUGGAUUGACGCUGAUGGACGAAAGCGUGGGGAGCGAACAGGAUUAGAUACCCUGGUAGUCCACGCCGUAAACGAUGGAUACUAGCUGUUCGGAGCAAUCUGAGUGGCUAAGCGAAAGUGAUAAGUAUCCCACCUGGGGAGUACGUUCGCAAGAAUGAA
rnacentral:rRNA from 1 species